rnacentral:pre_miRNA from 1 species
AAAGAGUACAAUUUUACACUGUUUAUGUCUGACGUUUGUCCGUUCAUCUUAUUUAAAAUUUUUUUAUGAUUAGUAUUUUUGUUGUUAUUAGACGAUAAAACAUAAAUAAUACUUUACUUGUGACUAAUUUUAUUUUUAUAAAUUUUUUAAAUAAAAUGGAUAGUUAAACGUUAGAUACGGAUAUUCACGACUGCUUUUAAA